rnacentral:miRNA from 1 species
UCGGAUAUCAUCAUAUACUGUAA